rnacentral:lncRNA from 1 species
UUCCUUUUAAUGUUUCACACAUGUGUAUUUAUGAUUUUAUUACUUGCCGGGUCUUAGUUUCGUUUUCUAAAAACGUUUUGGGUUGGUUGGCGAAGCUUCUUCAAAGAAUUCUAUUGGUUAUGCAGCAAUGAGAUCAGUCGUGUGAAUGUGGUUGACGAUCCGGAGUACAAAAAGGGGGGGUUUUGCAGUAAGAUUUCGAGAAUUUUGGCAGUUGAUUGUGCAAGGUUACGUCAAUAAGAGAUAAAAAAAUCUUGGUGAAUCCCAAAGUUGUGUAAUAGUGGUUUCGAGCUAAGUGGGAGUGGGAGAGUCACACCACCUAUGAUUGGGUUGCAUGGUUAACUACUUGCGAGGUUUCUGGUUAUCAGCAUAUUGAUUGGUUAUUUUAGCUUCGGAAAAAGAAUAUAAGUGGUAACUUGAGUAAGGGAUUGUUCAUAUGGUUGGCCUUUUUGA